GAUGAAGAACGUAGCGAAAUGCGAUAAGUAAUGUGAAUUGCAGAAUUCAGUGAAUCAUCGAAUCUUUGAACGCACCUUGCGCCCCUUGGUUAUUCCAAAGGGCAUGCCUGUUUGAGUAUCAUGAACACCUCAACUCUUGUGGUUUCCCACAAUGAGCUUGGACUGUGGAGGUUUUGUUGGCCCUGUGGUCAGCUCCUCUCAAAUGGAUCAGCUUACCGGUGUUUGGUGGCAUUACGGGUGUGAUAACUAUCUACGCUCGUGGUCGUCUCCAAAUAACCUCCAGUGAUGGAGGUUCGCUGGAGCUUAUAAAUGUCUCUCCCCAGUGAAGUCAGCCUUUGAACGUUCGAUCUCAAAUCAGGUAGGACUACCCGCUGAACUUAAGCAUAUCAAUAAGCGGAGGA
rnacentral:misc_RNA from 1 species